rnacentral:rRNA from 1 species
CGCCUCUUGCCCUCCAAGUAUAAGAGGUCCCGCCUGCCCAGUGAUUAAUUUUAACGGCCGCGGUAUCAUGACCGUGCAAAGGUAGCGUAAUCACUUGUCUUUUAAAUAAAGACCUGUAUGAAAGGCAAAACGAAAGCUCAACUGUCUCUUUAAUCUAAUCAGUGAAAUUAAUCUCUCCGUGCAGAAGCGAAGAUAAUUAUAUAAGACGAGAAGACCCUAUGGAGCUUUAAAUAUAAGUUAAUUAUAUAUUUAUACACAUCCGACAGGAAAAAAAUAAAUACGUAUAAUCAUAAUUCAAAUUUUCGGUUGGGGCGACCACGGAAGAAAAAACAUCCUCCGAGACAAACAAUUUAGAAUUACACUUCAAAAAUUAAAACAUUUAUUAUAAAUGAUCCACUAAGUGACCAACGAACCAAGUUACCCUAGGGAUAACAGCGCAAUCCUUUCUAAGAGUUCAUAUCGACGAAUGGGUUUACGACCUCGAUGUUGGAUCAGGACACCCAGAUGGUGCAGCCGCUAUUAAAGGUUCGUUUGUUCAACGAUUAAAGUCCU